GAAAAUUAAUAAAUGUUCACCAAAUAAGAAGAAGAAAGAAAUUAAAUCGAGACCGAGGGCAUUCAAAAUUCUCUCUUCGACUCCGGGCGUUCAAAAAGAGGAACAAAAAAAGAGUAACUGUUGAAAAACAAGUAGUCUUCAAGAUGCUGCUAUUAUACUGCCAAUAAUUGGUGUCUAGCCAAAGCCGAAAAUUUUGAGAUUCCCAAUGGCUCCAUCCAGUACUUUGUAGAAAGUGUGGCUAGGAGAUUUUUCCUGUUGAGAAGUUUCCUCCACCAGCCAUUUGUACUCUCCAAGGUUGCAAAGUAGAAAGUUCAAUCCAAUAAGGAGUUUCGCCAUAGCUUAUUGGAAAAUAAGUUUAGGUGGGCAACUUGGCCGAGGUUAUCAUUUACAUUUGGUUUCCUCUUUUUCCCUGUUGCCGAUAUGCUAGCUGGCGAUGCAUAAUUAGAAUAAAAAAGUAACUGAAGCUAUUCAGAAGGUUGCUGCUGCCUGUGACUGCAAGAUUGUUGAAGGUGUGCUUAGCCAUCAGUUCAAGCAGUUUGUGAUAGGUGGAAACAAGGUUGUCCCAAGUGUUCCAAGUCCCGAUACCAGGGCAUGAUGAUGCAGAUUUUCUGGAAAAUGAAGUUUAAGCAAUUGACAUAGUCGCCAGUACAGGAGAAGACAAGCCUAGGAUGUUAGAUGAGAGGCAAACUAUUGCAUGCAUAAGAGCGGUGGACCAGGUUUAUCAGUUGAAGAUGAAGGCAUUUAGGUUCAUCUUCAGCGAAAUUAGCCAGAACUUGCCCAUCAAGCCAUUUUCAGCUAGGGCUUUGGAAUAGAAGCGUGCCCGGCCUGGAUUAGUUGAAUGUGCCAAUCAUGAACUUUUGCAGCCCUAACCUGUACUUCAUGAGAAGCCUGUUCCCAAUGAAAAAAGUACAAUACAUUGGCGAGCGCAAGCUCCACCGUUGCAAUUCCCAUGUGAAUUCCUGGGCAUCCCCUUCGGCCUCCUCCAAACGGCAAGAGCUCGUAAGAUUGUCCUCGGAAAUCGAUGUCACCA